rnacentral:rRNA from 1 species
ACUCAAAGGAAUUGACGGGGGCCCGCACAAGAGGCGGAGCAUGUGGCUUAAUUCGACGCAACGCGAAGAACCUUACCAAGGCUUGACAUUGCCGGGACUGCCCCUGAGAGGGGGUUUCCUUUUGGUCCGGUGACAGGUGGUGCAUGGCUGUCGUCAGCUCGUGUCGUGAGAUGUUGGGUUAAGUCCCGCAACGAGCGCAACCCUUGUUCUGUGUUGCCAGCGUGCCUUUCGGGGUGGCGGGGACUCACAGGAGACUGCCGGGGUCAACUCGGAGGAAGGUGGGGACGACGUCAAGUCAUCAUGCCCCUUAUGUCUUGGGCUGCACACGUGCUACAAUGGCCGGUACAGUGAGCUGCGAUACCGUGAGGUGGAGCGAAUCUCUAAAAGCCGGUCUCAGUUCGGAUUGGGGUCUGCAACUCGACCCCAUGAAGUCGGAGUCUCUAGUAAUCGCAGAUCAGCAGUGCUGCGGUGAAUACGUUCCCGGGCCUUGUACACACCGCCCGU